GACUGAUUUCCUGAAACCUUUGCAGGCGCUAUAGGAAGUCCUGGUGGGCACCAACGCCUGCUCCAAGUCCUGAAAUGUCUCUGUGUCUCUGGGUACGCGCUAUUCCAUUAAAGAACAUUCAAAGCACAUUCCCUCCCUCCCAAAAGAAUCCUUGGCACUGUGGUUUGUUAAAAGGUUGCCGUGAAUUGUGUGGAGUAAAGGAUAGAAUUAUUUGAGAGAAAUGAUGUGCUUCACAUGUGCUUUAAAGGCACAGUAUGCAUGCACAACCUGUGUUUGGGUGCUAUGAGAGGAACAAGAGCCCUGUAUAAUUUAAAAUAGAAACCAUCAACUGCAAAGGAGGGAAGGAAGACGACUGGAACCCCGGAAGGAUCUGUUGUUCUCUGUUGCCAUGGUGCUGAAUGGCUCUCUUGUGUGGCGUUCGCCAUAUUGUAAAGGACCUGUUCUUUUUCUUGUUGGAGAAGAAGAGGCAGUCUUUUCAAGUCCUGUUCUACCCCACAGGGGUGGAGAGGCUUCCUAAUGGAUAGAAGCAGCAGGAAAGCGAAGAAGCCUACUACAGGCACAACAGAGCAGGCUGGUACAGAGAAGCUAACAGAAGAGGAGAAGGCACCCAGGAAAGAAGUGGAUAAUGUACUGCAGGGCGAAUUGGCGAAGCUCUUAGCUGAGAAGCAGGAGGAGGCGGAAAGUCCAGCAUUUCAAGGUGAAGUACAGAAAGGCAAGGCGACAGAGAAGUCCAAGGAAAGGAAGGGAGGCCUAGCAUUGCAGAAUGAAGUAGAGAAAGCCCAGACAAAGUCCAAGGCUGAUACGGCGCGUGAAUCACCUCAGCGUGAAGUAGGAAAAGCCUCGGCAAAGAGAAGGUCCAAGGCGGAAAGCGAGCCUUCCUCAUCGUGGGAUGAAGCAGGGAAAGGCAGGGUGAGGGAGAUGUCCAAGCAGGGAAUGGAGGAAGAGAACACCCAGGAGGAAACUGAGGAAACUGAGACCCAGGAAAGCAGGGACAGUGAAUCACCGCAGGCUGAAGCAGAGGAAUCCUCAGAGAAGGUCACUUGGAAACAAGGCUCUUUAUCAAGCAAAGAGGAGGAGGAGAUGAAGGAGGAGGAGGGACCAUCUAGUGCUGGAAGCCUGUGGGCUAAACACAAAGAGAAAAUAAUAGAGAUCGGAGAGAAACCGCUGGAGGAAAUUGGACCACCUGGUUACUUUGCUAAGUUAACUCAGAGAAUCAUGCGGGAUCUUCCUACUUUCCAGAAGAAAUUGAAAGCUUCAGAUGUGCCAGAAAAGUAUAAGAGAAAGAAUAUGCAUCCAAGGUUAGCUAAACUGCUCAGCUCUGAGCCGCCCAGCACCCAGCAAAUGAAAACGAGGCAUCAGCUGUCCCUGAAAGACUCAAGGUUAACUCAGAUCCUGAGCCAGGAUUUAUCUGACGAUGAGGAAGAGAAGGAUGAGUCAAAGAAAACGGACCUCCAUUCUUCAAGUAGCAAGACAGUGCCCUUUGAGACCUCUCCUGGGGGAAAAAGGAAGCCUGAAGCAGCUGCAAAGGAUGGCACAGAGAAGGGUGAAUCCUUGCCUUCAACUGUAGGAAGCUCUGUCUGGAACAUGGGGCAAAAAAUAAGCCACUGGAAGGUGGCCCACCAACAUGGGUAUCACGUGGGCCAGCUUACUCAGGAUAAAAUUUACAAGCAAAGGCUAGUGAAACAUGAGCGGGACAGCAAAAUAGCUAUGCCCAUGCCACUGCAGGAAGUGAUGGAGGAAGAAGUGUUUGACAUCUUAGUGGAAACCCUGUUUGACUACCACAAAAAAUUAGGAUCAGAGCACCCUCUCACCAUCCAGAUGGAGCAGCAGGUGGAACACCUUCACCUCCAGUUGCAGGGAAGAAGAGUUCUUUGAGUGAAGAUGCUGUGCAAACGACAUCCCUCCUACCCUUUGCCCACCAGUACCUUGAAACCACCUUGAGAACAAGUAAAUGU
ensembl:lncRNA